AGCGACCGGGCCCUGCAGGUGGUGGUUGUAGGGCUGGGAGAGGGGACACCAUUUUGUCCUGCAGUAUUUAAAGCUGUCGUCAGGCGGGUGCUAUAAAUAUCAGCACGGGCUGCUCGGAAACAAGGCGCAUGGCGGUCAGGGAUGCGGUGACAUUGGGGUGACAGUGACGAGGUUGUGUGGGGGUGGGGUACAGGUGUGCUCACCCAACGUUUCUCCCCGCAGAGCAUCUCGGACGCCUUCGGGAGCAUCUACCGGCAGCACGGCGUGGCGGGGCUGUGGCGGGGGGUGUCGGGCGCAGUGCCACGCGUGGCGGUGGGCUCGGCUGCACAGCUUGCCACCUUCGCUUCUGCCAAGGACUGGGUCUGCCAGCACCAGGUGACCCCCGCGCCCCGCCUCGGCCCCGUGGUGCGGUGCCACCGCUGACGGCCGUGGAUCCCCGCAGUGGUUCGGGGAGGGCAGCUGGGCGGCGGUGCUGGCGGGCGGCAUGGUGAGCGGCGUGGCCGUGGCGGUGACGAUGACGCCGUUUGACGUGGUCAGCACGCGGCUCUACAACCAGCCCGUGGAGGCUGACGGCACCGGCAAGCUGUACCGCGGGUUCCUGGACUGC
rnacentral:lncRNA from 1 species